UCAUCUCUCUCUCAAUCUAUAAUUCAUUCAAAUAAAUGUGGUCUUUCCGCACUAUUUCAUCUCUGUAUCUGAUUUGAAGCGGGCAGAAUGCUAGAGCUAACGAACCGUAACUGACAAAAAUAACCAUCAUUGUUACCCUUCCAGUUAAAUAUUGUGCUGCUAACAUCAUAAACAUACUUACAUCGGACUUGUUUCCAGUGCGGCUCUCCGCUCUCUCAGCUGGGCCUGCUUCUCCACCACGUCACGGAUCUGCUUCUCCACGGCCUCCAGCUCGAGCUACACCAAAUGCAGCUUGAGCAUCUCCUCACCUGCACUCAAUGGCAGACACACAUCUGCCAUUAAAGCAAGUAACAGCAGCACAAAAUCAUUUUCUGCACAGAGAUGAGGGGUCAAGAAAUUGAUUAAGAUGCAGAUGACUGAUUUCUCUGACACAAAGCAGCUGAGAUCCCUUUGACCUGGAAUGCCUGACUGUUGAAAACAAUGACUAAUGCAGACAAUCUUCCCAACUGACACGUCUGAGGACUGAAUGACACACCACAGAAAGCAAGAAUAGAGAAAAACAAUAAAGAGUCACUAGAGUUCAUCAGCACUCACUGUAGAGCACUUGUGCUGUGUUU
rnacentral:lncRNA from 1 species